UCUGAUGUGAGGCUACUUUACAGGAAGCGUGACCUCACUGGGGCUGUGUGCCGCUGAUUGCACGGGCUGUUUUCAAAAGGAAACAGGGGACUUGAUAGAGCAGCCUUUGCGAGGAGCCUGGGCUGGGUUCUCCCGGGAAGCUGCCCCAGAACAGCCUCCACCAGUCCCACGGGCUCCCGGGAUGAGGAAAAGCUUGGCACGCAUGUGUUAAUUUGGAAAUGGAUUUUCCAGGCUCAACACCAUAUGAUGGAGAGCCUAGACACAACCUCUCAAGACAUAUUUUUCCAAGCUGUACUUGUGCCUUUUUGGAUGACAAUCCUGCCUAUGAGUGCUCCACAAGUUCUCUGACAGGCUCCCUUCCUACAUGCCGCCGCAGCCCUCGACUGCUUUCUAAUGGUUAUUAUGUUUUGACAGAAGACAGUUUUCUGUCUGAUGAAGAGGGCAACAUAACACUGACACCAUCCCACACAAGUGUUACAUAUAAAGAGAAUUUAGUUCGUGUAUUCAGGCGAAGGAAGAAAAUCCGUCGCUCUCUUGACAGCUUGUUCAAUCUCAGUGCCUCCAGCUCAUGGCUCAGCUCCACCAUUCCCAGCAGGAUGGAUUUCUCCCUUGUAAAGGAUCCUUGGCCUGAUGGAUGUAGUAAACUAGAAGCCAGUCACAGUGAUAGUGGUGAUUCAGACUUUUCUUCUGAAUGUAAUAACCAUGUGUCACAAAGGCAAAUUCCAGCACCUAAUGGAUCAUUUCUCACCAAAGAUGACGAGUUUCUUCAUUUUGAGGAACCAUUUUGUGCUUCAAAACCCUGCUCUUUUAUGAUAAAUGCAAAUGAAGAGACCUGGAGCAAUGCAGAAUCCAGGACAGUGCAAAAUGUCAUUUCUCAGAUGGUUGCACUGAUCAUGUGCUUAAUGAUUUCAGUAUGUACAAGAUAUUUUCUGGGAGGACUGUCUGUCACUUUGUUGCUGAUCAUUUUAGUUUUUCUUUUGUCCCAAGAUGCUCCUGUGUCAACUUUCUUCAGUCUCAAUACAUUUUUCAAAACAACUAAGUUUUGGUAAGUGGUUCCAGUGUCAAGUGAUGAAGAGAGGAAUUUAGAAAUUUUAUAUUAAGAAGAGAAAGGAGAUUCCUGCUGUUGUUUUCAUGUCAGAAGACAGAAGGUAGGAUCUGAAGUUGCUGCUAGAGUACUUGACUUCAAUAUUUCCAGUAUUGAAGUACUGAAUUCCAUAUUUCCAGUUACUGAUUUGUAUUCGCAGAAACUUUCUGUUCGUUCUUAAACCUGCCUUUGCAUAAAUGUGCAAUAAAUGUAUCAGAAAAGGGAGGUAAACCUAAUAUACCAGAAUAUGAUGCAGACACAGACCAAGCAGUGUAAUUUAUGAUUCCAGAGGUCACUUUCAAGCCCUUCUCUGAAGUCCACUCCCAGGACACCAGACCUAGCCUUUUCUUUUUAAUUGGAAAAAAUAAAACCACCUAAUUAUGAUGCUCACCACAUCAUCACCUUCCAGGGACUGCAGAAUUGAUAUCAUUUGGCCUCUCUAACCCAAUGUGGCAUUAGCUCACACAUAGAACUUCAUGCUGAAAGCAAGUAUGGAUUUAUGAAUUACCAUUCCUUCACCUUUUUUGCACCACAGGAUUGUAAAUGUCUAAAAUACAAAAUGCUUCUAAGACUGAAAAGUUUGGGCUUAUCAGAAUUGUUAUGGGUGAAAGUGAAGCUCAAGAGAAUUUUUUUUUGUUUCUAAAGCUAUCAGGGUCCAGGAGAUCAGUGUAUGCCAAAGGCCCCAAGACAAUCUGUCAGAUCAGCCUUUGAACUGGGUACAUUGGAAGUCAGAAACAGCAAGGCACAACUUGGAUAGCCCUAGUGCAAUGACAGUCCCACCUUUUGAGGGAUGAUGCAUCAGUUUGUUGCCAUGUCUCUAGUCCCUAAUACUUUGGUUUUACCAAAGCCACCAGGUCAGGACCAGUGUGUUGCAAGCACAUGCCCCAAAGUGCUGCUUUCCCUCCUCCUGAAUAGCUUAGCCCUGAGUCAUAAGGAAGCUGUUCUUCCCAAGAGAAAAACAUAUUCUGAGAGCUUUUCAGCAGCAGGUAUACAGAGAAUGCCUCUUUUAUGCCCAUCACAAUUGAGAAGUUACCUGCUCAAACAAGUAGUCCUGCAGCUUAGCUGAAUUUGUCAAACAGGACCUACAGAUAACAUGAAAUGAUUAUAAGAAAUUGUGAUUUAAAUCAAGACAUACAAAAAUGUAUUCUUUUUUUUUUUUCCCCACAGAAAACAAUAAUAAAGAACAAUUGGCCUCACUGAAGCUCAAACUCUUAAAACAAGAACACUGAUUUAUUUGUAAUUGGAGUUCAUCAUCCCAGUCCUGGCUUUGUUAUUUGCUUUAUGUCUCCACCUUGUACAGUUAAAAAUGAAAAGGAGGAACCAAGUGGAGCUGUGCCCAGUUUGUGUUCCUUAUAGCGUGGAUAGAACAGCUUCUUUAGCAGUUUCCUGAUUGAGUGCAGUUCAACUUCUGAGAUCUAAAGGCAUCUGCACAGCUUCAGACACAACCUGGAAAACCUUUCUUUCCACUCUUAAAGGAGGGUGUUAAUCCUGAGAACAAAGCAUUUUAGAAAGGAGUGCAGUCAUUUGAUCACUCUGCCUAUGGUGAGAAAAUGUCCUACUCACAGCAUGCCAAGCAGGGGUGCCACACCUUGCACUUCAAGUCAGUAGAACUGUUUAUGUAAGGGCUGAAACAUCAGAGCUUGAAAGCUCACUGGUUUUGAAAGCCACUAUCAAUGUUAACCAAAGCAGGUACAACAGGAUGGAGUAGAGAACUGGGCACUUGUUGCAUGGCAGGACUAAACUAAACACAGAUUGACACAGGUUACUGCAAGACAGGACCUUCCACAGUUCAAAACUUGCUCAUCUCUUGCACUUCAUAAAAAUUUAAAAGCAGACUUGUUACUUCUGUGCAUUUUCAAAUGAGUUCAAUAAUAGUUUUCAUUUUUCCUCCUCCUCAAAUUUAUUUUCAUCAGCUCUUCAGCAUAGAACUCCUGGAUACCUCCUUAUGGCCAUGGUUACAUGUUCCUGUGAGAAAAAAAACCCAACAGAUUUUGAUAGUAUUCUUCCUCUAAAACACAAUUAAUUUUAGGUUUAUUUUUCUUCUCAUCAAAUAUGAGUGAAGCCUUAGUUCUUGAUGACUACCUGAAAGAAAUCAUGCAAAGAAGUGUUGUACCUGUAGUAUCUUGUCUCGAUAAUAAAUGUUUUGUAAUUCCUGUGAAAUAUUUCUUUAAAUAAAAACAAUUCUAUCCCAUAUUUUAUAUAUUAAUUUCUUGUCAUCAUGCUAUCCAAUAUAGUGGAUUUGGAUAGUGGCUUAGUAUAUGUGCUAACUGAUAUAUUAUGUAACUAAAACAGUAUUUAUAAUACUCAUCCUCAUAUUUACUUACAGUUAAUACACUUGAAUAAUACUGUAAGUGUUAAAUAAUUCCUUUAUAUUUAAAGCACAAAGACAACUGAGAGCAAAUAUCACUAGGUAAAAUGUAAAUAUUUUGUUAUCUAUUUUAUUACUAUCAUAAAAGGUCCAUUACUAAAAUCCCUUUUAAAACUAAAGGAUUAUAAAGAUCUUUAGUAUUUAAAUAAUCUCUUGAAAUAAUAAUCUGUAAAGUUAAAUCCCAUUCUGAGAGAAAAGUCCAAGACCGCAAUUACCCGCAGUUAACAAAGCAAUUAUGCUGAAAACUAGAAGAGUUCACUUUAAAUUCAUUAGUUCACUGUAAACUAUCAAAGAAAAAUCUGAUUGAGAUUGAAAAAAAAAAAAAAAGGUCUACAAUAAAUUGCUAUAAUCUGUCUAUUAAUAAAUAUAAUCUGUAAAUUGGAAUUGUUCUGAGCUGGAGAGAGGGAACUCCUGAGACAAUUUCUCAAUUGUUUAAGGAGUUCUAGGGCUAAAAAUAAAAUGCUCAGGAUGUUAAGAUCUGCCUUCCCUGAUAUUCAUUGAUGUUGAAUUAACAAAGUUCUAGUCAAUUACCAGACUGAUUGGCUUUGGCAGUUCCCUUCCAUAUAUUCCUAUGGACAUAAAAACAUGCCUCAUCGUUUUUCUCUGAAAAUAGGCACAAUCAUAUGUUUCUUCCUGUUGGAUGAAAAAUUGAAGCCAGGAUUUUUCUGAUGUAAAACUGAAAAAAAUUUCCAACCUAAAUGUGUAAAUCCAGACUUUCAGAGGUAAUGAGUAUUUGCAACUUCUAUUAACUACAGUAUCAAGCCUAGGAUAACUGUGGAAUAUAAUUCUCUCACAGUAAAACCACUUAUUGAUUAGUGAUUAACUGACACUUAUACAAACAGAGAAAACAACUAGAAUUUUAUGGGGUUUUUGUCUCCAGUAAUUAAAUGUUUAUUCCCCUUUCAUAUAGCACCUUAUUUAGAGAAAGAAAAUCAAAUAGAAGUGCUGUGACAUAUAUUUAUAAACCCUUGUGUAUUUUUUCAUACAGUUUAUUGCUUUUUUAAUAUAUAUGAUCUUUAUCAUUACACCUUGUCUUAUAUUCUCUUACUUCAGAUGUGUUCAGCUGAAUUUCAGAGUUAUUCCUGAGAUUAUGUCAUGUAGUGCUUUAUAGGGGAAAUGUUCAUGUGGAAGAUGGUAAUAUUGGUGCCAUUAUUUAAUUUUAAAUGUUCCUGGUCUGUGAACAAGUCUGGUUUGCAGUUAUCCUGAAAGCAUUACUCAUAGAAGCCAAAGCAUAGAAAGAUUAAUAUCUUUAAUUUAAGUUAUAUGGAAUAAAAACAACACGGUACAGAAUACAGGUUAUGACCACGUAGUCCAGUUCUACAAAAUCUGCUUUUUGAUGUAUAUUUUUAUGAAUUGUCUGCAUUAUUUUAUAAAACUCUUUGCAUGUUUUAUAUACACUGAGCAAAACAGUUACUACUUUUAUAUUGUUUACUUUUUUGUGGUUUCUCAUGCUGCUUUUUUUCCCCCCCUACCUCUGGCAUUUCCAUACCAGUAAAGUUGUUCCUGUUCUCAUUUCUUCUUGUAUUUGAGAAUGUUUUUAAGUAAUGGAGAUUAUUAUUAUUAUGAGAAAUUACAUGUAUUUCAGUGAAUACUUGUUAUUUGUGAGUUCAUGUCCUGCCCUGCAGAUUAUGUGCUCUUUGAGGGAGGGUUUUUUGGUACUUUAGUGCAAACAUAAAGCCUUGUUUUGUACCGGUGACUACAUCACCUAGAACCAUAGAAAAAUAAAAUAAAAAAUAAGAUUUGAAAAAAACAGUAAAUCAAUAGGAAAUAAAUAAAAAUACACAGGUUUAAAUUCACAGAGGGUAUCAAUCAGCUGAGACUCUAAGCUGCAGCACUUCAACAGCUUUGUACAUGGAUAUCAAUUUUCUGGGGUUGGAGCACCUUACAUGAGUGUAUUUAUGGACAAAGUUGAAAUGUUCAAAGUUCCUCUGUAUUAAUAAUACUAUAAUUGCUGUAAAUGCUAGCACUGUAAUAAUAAUGCUAUGAAGCUCAUUUUUGUUGUUACAUAGAAAUACAUAUUGCAUUGUUUUACACAUGUAACAAAUAAAGUUGUAAUGUAUUAAAGCA